UAGAGUUAGGAGUGUUAAUAAGCUGUACAAGAGCGAGUUAGAGCCGGCUCGUUAAAAUAUCGAGUCGAAAAAUUCAGCUCGUAUUCGGCUCGUUAAUAAACGAGCCAAACAUGAGUUGGCUAACGAACAUUAAAUUAAAUAGAUUAGAUUGAAUGUACAUAUAAAAAAAAUUUAUUAAAUCUCACCUAAUAGACUUUAAUCUAAUGGUUGAAAUUUUACAUAUAAAUGAUUCUUUUCAUAAUUAAACUCGGCUUUAUAUGUUUUUUUUUCUAAAAAUUAAAUAAUUAAAAUAUAUAUUAUAUAUAAUUAUUUAUUUAUAUAUAUAAAUAUAAAAUAUAUUUAUUCGAGCUAUUGUCGAGUCGAACAUGAGAGAGCUGAUCCUAACUCAUGUUCGGCUCGUUUAAAUAAACGAGCCGAAAAAUUCAGCUCGUAUUCUGCUUGUUUACUAAAUAAGUGAUUCAAUCUGGAGCUGAUUUCGAGUCGAACACGAGCUGGCUCAUAAAUAGCGAACUGAAUUGUCACCCUUACAAAUAUAUGGAGUAUAAU
rnacentral:lncRNA from 1 species